AGUGAACGCUGGCGGUAGGCCUAACACAUGCAAGUCGAACGGCAGCACAGUAAGAGCUUGCUCUUACGGGUGGCGAGUGGCGGACGGGUGAGGAGUACAUCGGAAUCUACUUUUUCGUGGGGGAUAACGUAGGGAAACUUACGCUAAUACCGCAUACGACCUACGGGUGAAAGCAGGGGAUCUUCGGACCUUGCGCGAUUGAAUGAGCCGAUGUCGGAUUAGCUAGUUGGCGGGGUAAGGGCCCACCAAGGCGACGAUCCGUAGCUGGUCUGAGAGGAUGAUCAGCCACACUGGAACUGAGACACGGUCCAGACUCCUACGGGAGGCAGCAGUGGGGAAUAUUGGACAAUGGGCGCAAGCCUGAUCCAGCCAUACCGCGUGGGUGAAGAAGGCCUUCGGGUUGUAAAGCCCCUUUGUUGGGAAAGAAAAGCAGCAGGUUAAUACCCCGCUGUUCUGACGGUACCCAAAGAAUAAGCACCGGCUAACUUCGUG
rnacentral:rRNA from 1 species